GACGAACGCUGGCGGCGUGCUUAACACAUGCAAGUCGAACGAAGAGCGAUGGAAGCUUGCUUCUAUCAAUCUUAGUGGCGAACGGGUGAGUAACGCGUAAUCAACCUGCCCUUCAGAGGGGGACAACAUUUGGAAACGACUGCUAAUACCGCAUACGAUCUAAUCUCGGCAUCGAGGAUAGAUGAAAGGUGGCCUCUACAUGUAAGCUAUCACUGAAGGAGGGGAUUGCGUCUGAUUAGCUAGUUGGAGGGGUAACGGCCCACCAAGGCGAUGAUCAGUAGCCGGUCUGAGAGGAUGAACGGCCACAUUGGGACUGAGACACGGCCCAGACUCCUACGGGAGGCAGCAGUGGGGAAUCUUCCGCAAUGGACGAAAGUCUGACGGAGCAACGCCGCGUGAGUGAUGACGGCCUUCGGGUUGUAAAGCUCUGUUAAUCGGGACGAAAGGCCUUCUUGCGAAUAGUGAGAAGGAUUGACGGUACCGGAAGAGAAAGCCACGGCUAACUACGUG
rnacentral:rRNA from 1 species